UGUAGCUGUCUGACUGUAAAGUCCAAUACCCGGUAUUAAAUUUCUUGUUAUAUGACCUCAGACCUUGACAUUUCUCAGGGCCUUUGACCCUUUGAUUUAUUUUGAGGUAUUAAAAGUUUAUGUCCACAAACUUAGCAAAAAGUCUUGAGAGAUUAUGUAAUAAUUAAUCUUUUUAAAAUUGUAGCAUGAAGAGAUUGCGGACGCGUUGCCAGAGAAUGGCUUCAAAGAAAAAUGGAUACUCCGUGAUUUCAGAAAGAAAUUUAUGCAGACAAAGGGCGAGGUGUAAAAACAAUCAAUAAAAGGCGGCAUGGCGACCUCCUUCUCCCUUACCAUGAAUCUAUGAUUUCAAAAGAAAAAUGGGACAGAGGGGAAUAGCAAAGAAGCUCUGGAUUUAGUCGGGGUUUUUUUUGACUGAAGGAAACAGUUCUGUGUGGAUGCAACCGAAGAAAAUGAAUUAUUGGGAGACUGGUAAACCUGGUGAUGUAUGGCAAGCAUUCCAAGCAAAACAUGAAAUGUGUUGAUGGCCACCUAUGUCACUUUUCAACAAGGCUAAAUAUGGAGGGCAAGGCUACAGCGCAAGUCCUUUGUCAGAAGGUCAUGGACAAUUCAGGAAAAGGCUGCAGUACAACAGCAACUAGGGAAACAUCUUUUGCUGAAAAUGUUACCAGGGAAGGCUAAUUGUUAAGAGGUCCUCCGAAAAGAACCAGUGUUGCAUGGCAGAACCUGGAAACAAACUAAGGACCUCAUCUGGAACUGUAAUAUAAGAAGACAGUCAAGGAGAAUUUGCUUGUAUCAGAUCAGGCUGUUAGUGAGACUAUAUGAUAUUGCUGCCUAUUGAUUGUGUGUAUCCAAUAUGGUUGUCAGUUGACUGUAUAUCAGAUGUGACUAUCAGUUGACUGUGUGUAUCAGAUAUGGCUGUCAGUUGAGAAUGUGUAUCAUAUAUGGCUGUCAGUUGAUAG